CCCGCCCCGGCGCGCGCGGGGGCGGGACUCGCGGCGGAGCCGUUGGGCCGUUGCUCCGCGCUGCGGGGGGCGGGGCGGCUCCUGGCUGGUGGGUUUUUUAAAAGCCUUUUGAAAGAUAAUCUCAUGGGACUGCAAAAUGAUACAUGGUGUUCCAAAACCACUAACUGUAAAAGAAGAUUUGACUCUGAAUAAUGCAGUCACCACUCUGACAGCAAGAUGAAGAAUGAAAAGUUAAACGUCUAACUUGCUAAAAUAGCAGCAGAGAGUUGACGGUCUGGUGAGGUGAGACCAGGUGACAUCAGCUGGCUUCUGGAGAAACAAGGAAAGAAAACUUCUAAAACACAAAGUUGAAUCAUAUCUGUGUUCUACGAUCACAGCAGAAGCUGGCUUGGACAAGGUUAGGGACUUUAGCGCUCUGCCUAAAGAAGAACUGCAUACUGAAAGCAUAAUAGACUUCAAUUCUGAAUGCGUUUCUUGUAUUCACAAUGAAACUUGGGAGACCUCCCAAACACAACUGACUGGCAGUAAGAUCUCCUAAGUCUACUUGUCAUUUAAGACUCUGAAGGGAUGACAGCUCAGCCUUGUGAAGAAAAAAGAUGAUGUAAGCAGAAGGAUGUAAAUUCUUUCUCAGGUCUAAGUUUCCAGGGUGCCUUUGCUUUUGUAUUAUUGAAGGAUCACCCAAUUGUUAAGGCUCCUAACCUAACUCCAUGAAAAACCUAGAGAUCUUACCAACAAGCUAGUCUCUCAGAGAAGUGCUUGGAAAAUUUACUUAAGAGCCACAUUUUUGCUUUGAUGGCAACACAACCUCAAUCCAACAUUCUUCCAAAAUAGUUUUUACAUCAGAGAAAAAUGUAACUGUUCAUGAUUUUUUAGAAGCAAACACUGAAAAAGUAUAACAUCUUGAAUAGUACAGAUUGAGCUACUUAUUGAAUGUGCCAACAGCCUUAAUUACAUUAAAGAUUACACUUGAAAAAUUUUAAUGCUGAAAGUAAUGUUGUAUGUCUGAUAAAGAUGACUAGAGGGACCAAAGAAAUAUCCUUCAUGGUAAAGGAAAAAUGCUGCACUGUAUUUUUUGUGCAUGAGAUUAGUGUUGUCUUUAUAAAGAGAGAGAAUCAAUAUUAGUCCAGAAAUGAGUUAUACUAUUUUAGUGGAAGUGGGCAGAAAUGUGGAAUUCGGUGAAAAUUGUAUUUAUUUAUUUAUUUUUGGUGUGUGGUUUAACUUAACUCCGUCCUAGGUACAAAUAUCUCUUGUAGGUAGCAAUUUUAAUUGUUUUCAACAUCUGCUUCUUGGUAACAAUGUGCUAUGCAUAACUCAUCUGUUCUCAAGGAAUGACUGUUUUUCCAUUGAAACAAAACCAUUUGGAUAUACUUUAUUACUUUACUUUCCUAAAGAGAGGAAGGAUGUCAGCUUACACGGUGCCUCCUUUAUAGAAUAAUAAAAAAGCCAAGCUGCAAAGUAAGCAUGUAAAAGUGCUGAGAUGCUUUGGAAGAAAAGGGCAAAAACAGUGAACUGGAGUUCAUUUAUUUAACAAGUACUUUAAUAUUGCAUAUCCUUCAUUUCUGUCUAACUGAAGAGAAAGAUUGAACAUUACUGUCAGGGAGCUCACCAUCUUCCGAUAUCUUCAUUUAAUUAAAAAUAGCUGUAAUUUGAGAACUCUCUUAGCAAGAGUGAAAUUGUUACAUUUAACUAGAAAAAAGGGAUCUGUUAACAGAGGUUAUUUGACUAAGUGUCAUGACAUUAUCUAUAUCAAGAUCUUUAAGUUACUGAGUAAAGCAUUUCAGAGUUAGUUUAGAAGAAAAACAAUGGAUUUCUUCAUUAAUUCAAAACACCACAGUAUACAGCACAUCCUUUUCCACCUGCAUAUGGAUAUAAAUAUUUAACUCCUGUCAUGCAGGUUAAGUGUCUGAUGACUACUUCUUCCAUAAGGCACUCUGUAAUUUUAGUGGGAAAAGCUUUUUGUAUUCCAAAGGAUGUUUUUACAGACAGCAAGGAAGGGAUGGGAGCCUACCCUCUCACUCACAUGCCACACCCAACAAUGUGAGUUAUCCUAAAACAACCUACAUUUUUGCAACAUUGUAAUAUAUAAACCAUUGGAAGCUAAGAGAGAGUUCUACCCUCAAUUUAGAAGUGGCAGCUGUUUCAGUAGUUCAGAAGAAAACCUGUUUUCCCAAAUAGCUGCUGGUAGUACCAUGAGAUGACUCAUGUUUGACCAACCAUUUUGCAUUUAUAUUCACACAAAUUCUCUUACUUAAUGUAUCUUCCAAUCUUUUCUUGUCAAAUCUUUAGCCAUAUAAAUUCAAGACUCAGACAACUGGACCUGCUUUGAGAAAGGGAUUAGACUAGAUGACAUUGAGAAAGGUCCCUUCCAACCUAAAUUAUUCUAUGAUAAGUUUUAGUUUCUUUUCAAGAAUGUAAAAAAAAUAGCAAUUUGAUCUCUCUCAAACUUUUUUUUAAGGCAGUAUGAAAGUAUGAAGGUUAGUAUUUUUUUUUUUUUUAAAUCAGCAUCAAGAUAGUUGUUUUCUAAAGAAACAGAUUUCUAGCUUAGCACAGAUGAACUAUGGAUUUUUCCAUGAAUAAUGUGAAGGCUGGAAUUUGUUUUAAAACUUUUUCAAAGUUGCAUUAUUGUGGUCUGUUCAGUGUUUCCUAAGACUUGCUUCAAAUUCUUGUUUCUUAGAGAUGUAUUUUAUUGUUAGCCAAUUAACAAACACUAAGUGCACAUUUGUAGGGCUGAUCAACACUUUUCACAUAGAAUAAAAGUACCACCUGGCAUUAAGAGUUAGCCAAGUAUAUGAGCCAUAUUUUGUCCAACUGUGCACCAGGUCUCCUUAUGGGUCAGUCCCAAUCUGCAUACAUUCCCCUUUCCUACUAAAGAAGCUAUGAAGUUGUAUACAUUCUCAUUCACUUAAAUCUCAAGAGUCAACUGCCUCGGGGAAUAAGUAAGAGGAUAGAAGAGACAUCUCAUACACAAUACAGCAUUUCCAAAUAUUUGAAUUACUCUCAACACUCAAACUAAAAAAGAUUCUUCUGGGUUUGUGUUAAAAUGCAACUGGAAAAGGAACAUAUUAUAAAACUUUUUUUUUUGAUCCAUUCUCCUGACUAUUCUGGCAUAAACAAGACAUCUGCUUUGCUUAGUUUCACAGAACAUACCUCCUUAAAGCAUGGCGACGGAUUUCUGAUUUGUUCAAGCAUUGCCCACUUGACUGUUGCCUGUCGUAUAUUUCCAUCAUAUUCUCUGGAGCUCUGGGUACCGCUCGGAGUACCUCUUGAUCGUUCAUAACCUGGUUCAUUAAAAUAUGGUUCUGCUACUAAUAUUAGUGAUUGGACAGACACUAACACCUGUUAAAAGAAAAAAAUUAAACAUUAACAGUGCUGCUUGCUUGUUUUUACAAAUCUACAUAAUUUUGCUUACAUUAUAUGCAAAAACAUUUCUACAGCAAAGUGCUGUAAUCUGUAAUACAUAACACUUGACAGACUAGUUGUAGGGAAUGUUCAUCCUUUCAACCUGAAACUUGUUUUUAACAUGUAGUAAUGGUAAGUCAUACAACUGUACAUUUAAUUCAAACAGAAAAAAAAAUACAAAAAAAAUUGAUAGGUUAAAAAUACAAGUAAAAGAAAUUGUUUAAAGGAA